AAAUUCUUCGACAUAACCUUGGAAAAAUAGCUUCAUCUUUCAUUUAUGUGCGUGCCAGUUGAACGGCCGGAUUCUCAUUUUGCAAUUAUAAACAUUAUAAAGCUUUAUUGUUUGCUGGAGGUGAUUGACGUCAACCGAAUUUAAGUGAAUUUUUCAGUAUGGGAACAGUAUUGUUUAAACUUUCGUAUAAACAUCGAUUAUUCUGGUACACUCAACCAACGAAGCUUCUUCGUCAUUCCGAUCGUCUGCAAUUUUUGCAGAAAUUAUUCGAAGUUCAGUUAAAAAUAGAAAUUGAAUCGUUUGAUGGAAUUUUGUAAAUUUUGUCACGUUUUAAAAAGUGUACACCGAUCUUUUAUUCUCCCUGUAUACGUGUGAAAUGUGUUCGCUUAAUAGAGAAGACGUAUAUCGGAGAUAAACAAAUUGGCCGCAGCCAUGAUCGCCAUGGGUUUUUUGAAAUUCAACUACCGUUUCAAGGUCGCCAACGCCACCAAUCUUCAUCUUUUUUAGUCCAAAACAUUGUUAAAUGUUUCUUGAACGCAAAUAAAUAAACCUUGUAAAUGUGAAAA